UUUGGUUCAGGUUUUUGUUUGUCUUUCUGUGUUCGCUGAUUGGCACGACGGAUGAAGUAAACGACGAAGAUAUUCAUCCGUUCAAUCAUUCAUAUCGAAUUCAUUCACUACUAAGCCACGACCGUUAUCAAGCACAUCGGUACUAGCGCGUCUACGACACCCCGCCGGCAUUUCCUUACCAGCAAACAGAAGCAGAAGCUUGGGAUCUAUCCCCUUUUCCGCCUUACUGUUGUGAGGAAGUCACCAGGAGUUUUGUGAUUGUCUUCCGUAAGCUUGAUAUUGGCAGAACUGAUAUUCUCGAUGCCUCUUUUGUCUUUGGACGAACAGAAGCGGGAAAUAGUCUAGCUCGUAUGAUCUGCAACAAAUUCAACUCGCCCGUCGGGGUAUACCCGAUAUGAGAGGAAACAAAGAAAAGGAGAAAAGCUUGCAUAUUCAGGCAGCCCCAACAAUGCCCAUGCCAAAUUCAACUGCAUCGUCUUUCACCGUUUUCUUCUCCCUCCAAUCUCAUUCAACCUAUCUAGACUUGAUCUGGCCGCGUUUUUUUUUCAUCAUUUAAAUGGUCCCUGAAGUUCUCCGUCUCCGCUGCGGAAGGGUGAGUUCACCGGUAGCCCCAAACUGUCCUUCGUUCCGCAGAAUGGCAAGGCCUCUGAAUCUAUCGUCAGGAGGGCUGUCACGAAAACGGGCAAGCGGGGGGGCUAUGAAGUAUUGCGUCAGAUGCGGAACUUACCCUACGCGGCGGACAGUGCGGCCAACGACUGUGGUGAUAGGAAGGCGUUUUUGAUAGUUCAAGGUUCAACAGAUUGCGUGUCUAAGCUAUUGAAAGAUAUCUUAUAUCUUCGAUAUCUAAGAUGAGAGAGAGGGUUUCGUACAGUAUACAAAGACUCUGUUCCUCCCUCUCAAUACGCCCCCCCCCUCUCCCGGCUCCUCCUUCCUCAUGGAUGCACGAUCAGGCGUUAUUGAUCAUCAAUUGAAGACUUGGUCAUCAGAUUACGCCGACGUCAAGAUGAUUCUCGUCCUUAGAAAAUGGAAGAGAUAAUAGUUGUUUUGCUGGUACUGCAAUAAACGUAUUGCCCCCGUUGAGGAUCUACUAAAAGAUGCAGUGCAAGAAGAAAUUGGGGUAUGAGAAUAAGGAAUGAAGCAGGCAACUGAUAUUAUUGAUAAGAGGUCCGGGAUACGGUCAAACACUUGAACGGAUGAUUCGGCAAGCUUUUGGUCGUAAAAUGUUAUUUAGCACGUCUGCCGACAUUGCAUCAUGCAUGUAGCAUACGAC
rnacentral:sRNA from 1 species